UCCAGCCUGCCCAGUGACCAUGUGUUCAACGGCCGCAGUAUUUUGACUGUGCGAAGGUAGCGUAAUCACUUGUCUUUUAAAUGGAGACCUGUAUGAACGGUAAAACGAGGGCUUAACUGUCUCCUUUUUCCAGUCAGUGAAAUUGAUCUCCCCGUGCAGAAGCGGGGAUACAAACAUAAGACGAGAAGACCCUAUGGAGCUUUAGACGCCAGGGCAGCCCAUGUUAAACACUCCUGAUUAAAGGACUAAACUGAUUGAACCCUGCUCCCCUGUCUUUGGUUGGGGCGACCGUGAGGAAAUUAAAGAACCCUCCACGUGGAAUGGGAGCAGCUAUACCCCUUUGAAGAUUUUUUCUUCUUUGCCUCCCACAACUAAGAGCCACAGUUCUAAGCAACAAAAUAUUUGACCAAUAGAGAUCCGGCAAAGCCGAUUAACGAACCGAGUUACCCUAGGGAUAACAGCGCAAUCCCCUUCUAGAGCCCAUAUCGACAAGGGGGUUUACGACCUCGAUGUUGGAUCAGGACAUCCUAACGGCGCAACCGCUGUUGAGGGUU
rnacentral:rRNA from 1 species